GCGUCCGUAGCGCAGUUGGUUAGAGCACCACCUUGACAUGGUGGGGGUCGGUGGUUCGAGUCCACUCGGACGCACCA
rnacentral:tRNA from 1 species